rnacentral:misc_RNA from 1 species
GCUCCUACCGAUUGAGUGAUCCGGUGAAUAAUUCGGACUGACGCAGUGCUCAACUUCUGGACGUUGUGUUGGAAAGUUUCAUGAACCUUAUCACUUAGAGGAAGGAGAAGUCGUAACAAGGUUUCCGUAGGUGAACCUGCAGAAGGAUCAAGACAGGAAGAGAGUCGUGUAGGGUAGAGUGUGGGUCUAGGUGGCCGCGGUCACCUUAACAAAAAAAAAAUACAUACAUACGUACUCUUGUGUACUAUCACAUCUCACAGAUAUCCUUACUCUUAUU